AGAAUCAACGCUGGCGGCGUGCCUAACACAUGCAAGUCGAACGAGAAAGUGGAGCAAUCCAUGAGUAAAGUGGCGCACGGGUGAGUAACACGUGACUAACCUACCCUCGAGUGGGGAAUAACCUCGGGAAACCGGGGCUAACACCGCAUAACAUCUACGGAUCAAAUGCGUAAGCAGCUUGAGGAGGGGGUCGCGGCUGAUUAGCUAGUUGGCGGGGUAAUGGCCCACCAAGACGAUGAUCUGUA
rnacentral:rRNA from 1 species